rnacentral:rRNA from 1 species
UUCCUACGGGGGGCAGCAGUGAGGAAUAUUGGUCAAUGGACGCAAGUCUGAACCAGCCAUGCCGCGUGCAGGAAGACGGCUCUAUGAGUUGUAAACUGCUUUUGUACGAGGGUAAACGCAGAUACGCGUAUCUGUCUGAAAGUAUCGUACGAAUAAGGAUCGGCUAACUCCGUGCCAGCAGCCGCGGUAAUACGGAGGAUCCGAGCGUUAUCCGGAUUUAUUGGGUUUAAAGGGAGCGUAGAUGGGUUGUUAAGUC